rnacentral:tRNA from 1 species
GGUUGUAGCUCAGUGGUAUAGGGCUUGCCUAGCAUGUGUGAGACACUGGGUUCGAUCCUCAGCACCA